AAUAUGUGUCAUUUUGUAUUAAUGGAAUUUGAUCUCAUGGUUGCCGUACAAGUCCACUUUGAGCCUUAAGCUAUAUUUCAAAGUAACCCUAAAAGACAAAUGUGAGAAACUACCCCAAGCAACCCGUAAGACAUGGUUAGAAGUAUCACUCAGUGAUGGUAGAAACACUGGAUACCUCGACUUCAGACCAAACCGACCUCGACAGCCUCGGUAUAGACUGAGGUAAACAACUUCGGCCCCAGCUGAGAAGCCCGCCAACCGACGUGAAC
rnacentral:lncRNA from 1 species